rnacentral:lncRNA from 1 species
UGCAACUCUUAAUCUCGCUACCUCCCCCUCCUCUCUUCUCUCUUCUCCCUCUCUCUCCUCUUUUCUCUACCGCUGUCUCUGAGACUUCUUCUUCCCUUUUUCCUAAAGAAGUUGAUCCAGAAAUUCGAAAAGCCCUGGGCAGAGUUGUUGAAUGGGAUGUGCAAUUAGAGAGGGGAUUUUGUUGGGAGGCAAGAGGGUCCCCCAGGCUCCACAUAGUCCAGGUCGGCAGGCAAGGAAAGACGGCUGACCAGCCCAGCGGGCGCGGUUUGCACAUGGUUUGCACGUCGGGCCGCCUCUUUCUGCCUAUAAUUCAGCUGCCUCUCUGAGGAGUGGUGGAGGAGCUGCGGGAGCCGAGAAGCCCAAGAGCCCUCUGGACCCAGAAAAGUCCUACAGAUGCCCACUCCUCACCACACAACAGAAGGAGCUCUGGUCCUGCCUGCCAGCCCCAGAGGGCACUCAAACUUUGGAGGCCAGCCACCCGGAUGAAGUGAAUAAGGCCUGAAAAUUGCUUGUUUGCUCGUAUUGUAAAAUAAUAAUAAUUACCAUUAUUAUUUUUA